CUACGGGGUGCACCAGUGGGGAAUAUUGGACAAUGGGGGAAACCCUGAUCCAGCAAUGCCGCGUGUGUGAAGAAGGCCUGCGGGUUGUAAAGCACUUUCGGUUGGGAGGACUGCUUCUAGCACUAAUAUUGUUGGAAGUUGACGUUACCUUCAGAAGAAGCACCGGCUAACUCCGUGCCAGCAGCCGCGGUAAUACGGAGGGUGCAAGAGUUAAUCGGAAUUACUGGGCGUAAAGCGCGCGUAGGCGGCUAGAUCAGUCGGGUGUGAAAGCCCCGGGCUUAACCUGGGAACUGCAUCCGAUACCGUCUAGCUUGAGUACAGGAGAGGAGAGUGGAAUUCCACAUGUAGCGGUGAAAUGCGUAGAUAUGUGGAGGAACACCAAUGGCGAAGGCAGCUCUCUGGCCUGAUACUGACGCUGAGGUGCGAAAGCGUGGGGAGCAAACAGGAUUAGAUACCCCAGUAGUC
rnacentral:rRNA from 1 species